UAGUCCACGCCGUAAACGAUGAAGACUAGCUGUCCGGGCACUUGGUGCUUGGGUGGCGCAGCUAACGCAUUAAGUCUUCCGCCUGGGGAGUACGGCCGCAAGGUUAAAACUCAAAGAAAUUGACGGGGGCCUGCACAAGCGGUGGAGCAUGUGGUUUAAUUCGAAGCAACGCGCAGAACCUUACCAACGUUUGACAUGUCUCGUAUGAUUUCCAGAGAUGGAUUUCUUCAGUUCGGCUGGCGAGAACAC
rnacentral:rRNA from 1 species